GUUCUUUGACAGAGAGGAGGCCAGGGGCGGGGAAGUGGGCUACCAGCCCCAGAGCUCUUGGCUGGGGGAGCGGGAGCUGGCACUCAGGCCUGCUCUCUGCCUGAUGCUAAGCCCUGUGCUCCCUCCUGCCCCCCUUGCCCUUCACACCAGUCGCUAACAGAGGCUCUGGCUGAAGGCAGCUGGGGGUGCCUCCUCCCUCCUGUCCUGGUGCUUGCUCUGUGGGCCGGUCCGAUCUGUCUCAAGCCCUACCCAGACUGGGCUGCUCCCUGCGGUGGCAGCAAAUGCCAAGCAAAGGCCCUGCCCUCUCACCACAGCCCAGAGGGUCCGAGCACCUUGCCCAUCUGCCUGCCCUGGGAGUGAAAAGUGGCUGAGUGCAGGAGGCAGCAAGGGAGCCCCUCCCCCAGGCCCAGAAAGGACUGGCAGCUGGGAGUGGGGGGUGGGGUGGGGAGUAGAGAGCAGUGUCUGCAGGGCUCAGGCCCCUAUCUCAGAAUCCAGUGCUGUCAGCUGGGAGCCUUGGGAGGGGACAUCAACUCAUCUUGCCUUGGAGAAAAAAAUACCAGGUCUGAUAUGGGCGGGAAGCGGAGGAUGAAGGAAGGGUUUCUAGUCUAUGCCUCAGUUUAUCUUUUGGAUAGCUGCAAGACAUGGGGUUUCUUAAGCCUCAACUCUGAAAAGAUGGAGAGUGAGUUCAUUUAUUCAUCCAAGAGGCAGGUCUGUAACAUUUAUUUUGUCCUAUAAUGCGUCGGUACCAGACUAGGUACUUGGAGAUACAAAAGCUUGAAACCCACACUGAGGGGCCCAGGGCCUCAAGUCUGGGAGAAAGUAAACCCCACAGUCCCCGGACUGUGCAGAGAAAGGCAGCAGCCCAGAACCUGUGGGAGCCUCCCACGCACCAAAUCACACAUCCUUUUGGCCUGUAAACCUCAGGAAGAGCAGGGAUUCCCUCCCGGGAUGUAGCAGAGAAGUAAAACAGAUGUGCUCAAACCACCGUAGGUGGUGUGUCCGUGACACAGCGGAUCUGCGGCUUGGUGGGUGCUGCCAUCCUUUCUCCAUCUCAAAUGGGAAGACCCGAAGGGCAGCUGCCAGGUGACUGUAGACACCCUCCUCCAUCUGCCUUAUUGGCCCAGCAGCCCCCAAUCCUUGCAUGAUCCAACCAUAGGCGUGUCUUCUCACAUCCAGAACUCAGCUGCUGGAGGCCAUCGCUCAGACCAUAUGUGGCCCAAUACCCCAGCUGUUCUCUCUAAUAAGUUCUCCACUCAAAGAGAAUAAGAUUCCCAGGAUGAUUGUGCUUUCCCAUCCUAGAGAAGCAAGAAUAUGGUUAAGGAUGCGCGGGGGGUGGGGGGGUGCAGUGCUGAGAAGUCCUCUGCUGGGCAGGCACAGUGUGAGCAGCAGAAAGAUAAGGAUAAGUAGGCUAACCUGAAAUAAGUCAGGUGUGCAAAGAAGCAGGACAACACAAACAGAAUGUCCAGAAAGUCAAAAUCUGCUUCUGACCAUGGAUAAGCCUCUACAGAAGUGGGCACCUUUGUGACCAAAAGGGCAGAAAAUGAAAGCAAAAAAUGAGCAACGACAUGAGAGAUGCUCUCCAGGGUGGCUGUAGGUUCCCUCUCCUCGUUUUGUACUUUAAAGACAAAGUUUAGGGGCACCUGGGUGGCUCAGUUGUUGAGCGUCUGCCUUUGGCUCAGGGAGUGAUCCUGGGGUCCUGGGAUCGAGUUCUGAAUUGGGUUCCCCAUAGGGAGCCUGCUUCUCUCUCUGCCUAUGUCUCUGCCUCUCUCUCUCUGUGUCUCUCAUGAGUAAAUAAAUAAAAUCUUUAAAAAAUGUUUAGAGAAGAAAAUUUGCUUAGAGAAAUUUAACUUGUCAAAUUCCCAAUUUGGGUGAAUUUGUUGGGUAAAUAUUAGAGAGAUAUUAAUUGCUUAAAGCAAUAUCAAUUACUCAAUAGAUUUAGAAGGUUAAUGAAUGGGACAUGAAACCAAGUUCACAUACUAGUGAGGAUUUCUUUCUACCAGUGAAGGCCCUUGUACUUUCAAGAAUUUAAUAAAUAACCUCUCCUACCCCUACUUCCAUAAGCUUGUCUGUAGUGACACUGCCGCCCUCUAGGGGGCUCAGGCUGUUCCUUGUGACUUCUUCCCUCACUGCUCCCACCACUUCACCACUUCCUGUCUUCCCCCUUCAAUGUCUUCCCCUGCACCCUCGCUGGCACCUUCUCUAAGGCCUAAAUGAGCUCAAACCUACUCCAUUAAAAUAACCAGUCUUGUCUUGACCCCAUGCACUCCUCACAGCUUAACUCCUCUUCCUCACCUCUCAUUCCCUCCCCUGCCAGACUGUCCAGCAUCUCUCCAUCUCCCCUUUCCACUAAUAACCAAUUAGUUGCUAAAUCUAAUGGACACUCCAGCUCCCCAGCUGGAUUUCUCUGUAGCAUUUGACAUGUGCAGCCUCUCCCUUCUUGGAAAUGUCUGCUUUCAGUCCCCUUCCUACCUCUUUGAUGGUUUCUUCCCUAUCUUCUAGGAUGGCUCUUCUUCCUCCUAUCACCUCCCCCCAUGUCAGUGCUCCCCAAAGUUGGUGUUUCCUGAGCUAUCUUCUCCUUACACUCUGCACACUUUUGUAAUUUGGUCCUCUGCCAAGUUGCCCUAUCUUAGUCAAUCACAUCCCUAUCCACCCAUUGCUCAAGCCAGAAACCCAGAGUAAUUGCAAAACUUCCACCUUAUCUGGCCAACCAUCAAGGAGCUAUCCAUUGGCUUCCAUAUAGCUGAUGAUCUUUCUACAGCCCAAAUCGGAGCCUAUCACUCCUUGCUAAUGUUCAAAUCUCAUAGCUCUAAUUUCCAGGUUCUUUCUUCCUCUUCAUUCCCUCCAGUGAUGCAGUAGACUACAUGUAGACUGUGGAUGAUUAUCACAGGGCAUGGCACACAUUAGAUGCUCAAUAAAUGUUUGUUGAAUGAAUGUACACGCUGAAAGGUAUAGGUAAGAAGAUGGGAAAAAGAAAUACCAUGCAGUUCUCAAUGGUCAAACUUAUAACAAUCUGAGCAAAAAAUAAAGUAGUAUUGGAUUAUAACCCAAGGUAUAAAAUAAAUAUCCAUGAGUCUAUAUUGAUAUAUUUAAUAUAUAUUUAAAUGAUUGACUAAAUUAAUAAAUGAGGGGAAGAGAUAAAUCUAAGCAGAAGAAUUCUAAAUAAUAUACAUUGAUAUUCCGCCCUCAAGUGGGGGGAGUAUAACUCCCCACUCUUCAAGUGUAGGAAGUGCAUAGUGAUUCUCUUCAAAAAGACUACAGUUUGGGAAGUGUGUCAGGGGGAAGCACAUAACUUUAUAAUGGGUAACUGGGCAAAUGCUACCUCAGCCAGUGAGCAAGGUCCACAUCAUUAGUCAUUAAUUAUGUUGAUAGUAUGUAUACUUGAUAUGAUGGGAUGAAUAUGGGACUCUAUGAUCUUCCUUCCUAAAACUCAUGACCUCAAUCUAAUCAUGAGAGAAGAAUCAGGGGUGCCUGGGUGGCUCAGUGAGUUAACCAUCUGCCUUCAGCUCAGGUCAUGAUCCCAGGGUCCUAGGUCGGGCUCCCUGCUGAGUGGGGAGUCUUCUUCUUUCUCUCCCUCUGCCACUCCCUUGCUUCCCCUUCUUGUGCUCUCUCUCUCAAAUAAAUACAAUCUGUUUUUUUAAAUGAGAGAAGCAUCAGACAGAUUCCCAUACAGCAGUGUGAUAGUUAGGUCUAUGUGUCAACUUUACUAGUCUAUAGUGCUCCAUCAUUCAAUCAAACACCAAUCUAGGUGUUUCUGUGAAGGUAUUUGUAUAUAUGAUUAACAUCUGCAAUCUGUUGACUUUAAGUAAAGAACAAUAUGGAUGGUCCUCUCCAAUCAGUUGAAAGACCUUAAGAACAAAAGUAAGGGCUCCCUGAUGGAGAACUUCUACCUGUGGACUGCAGUGUCAGCACCUGCCCUACAGACUUUGAACUUGCCUAACCAGCCCCCUCAAUUGAGUAAGCCAAUUUCUUGGCAAUAAAGCAGUAAAUAAAAUAUACCAAAUAUUUAUAGUUAAAUAUCUCUAUGUGUAUAUUAGUAUAUAAACAUUUAUCUAUAAAUAUCUAAA
rnacentral:lncRNA from 1 species